UACGUAGGGUGCGAGCGUUAUUCGGAAUUACUGGGCGUAAAGCGUGCGCAGGCGGCGCGUUAAGACAGGUGUGAAAGCCCCGAGCUUAACUUGGGAAUUGCGCUUGUGACUGGCGUGCUGGAGUGUGGCAGAGGGAGGUGGAAUUCCACGUGUAGCAGUGAAAUGCGUAGAUAUUGGGAAGAACACCGAUGGCGAAGGCAGCCAUCUGGACCGACACUGACGCUGAGGCGCGAAAGCGUGGGGAGCAAACAGG
rnacentral:rRNA from 1 species